rnacentral:tRNA from 1 species
UAGUUUUAAUUUAUAAUAAAAGGCUAGAAAAUUAGAAAAUAGGCUAGCCUAUAACUAU